AUAUUAAUAAGGGGAGGAAAAGAAACUAACAAGGAUUCCCCCAGUAACGGCGAGUGAAGCGGGAGGAGCUCAAUGUGAGAAUCGAGGACCUAAGCGGGUCCUCGAGUUGUAGCCUAGAGACGUGCUAUCAGCGGACACCUGGGUAUAAGUUCUUUGGAAUGAGGCACGAUACAGGGUGAGAGUCCCGUAUACGAUCCAAAGUUGUACGCGUACGAUGCAUGUUCCUCGAGUCGAGUUGUUUGGGAUUGCAGCUCUAAAUGGGUGGUAAGUUUCAUCUAAAGCUAAAUAACGGCGAGAGACCGAUAGCGCACAAGUA
rnacentral:rRNA from 1 species